rnacentral:rRNA from 1 species
CCUACGGGGGGCAGCAGUGAGGAAUAUUGGUCAAUGGCCGAAAGGCUGAACCAGCCAAGUCGCGUGAGGGAAGACGGCCCUACGGGUUGUAAACCUCUUUUGUCCGGGAGUAAAGCUGUUCACGUGUGGAUGUUUGCGGGUACCGCAUGAAUAAGGACCGGCUAACUCCGUGCCAGCAGCCGCGGUAAUACGGAGGGUGCGAGCGUUAUCCGGAUUUAUUGGGUUUAAAGGGUGCGAAGGCGGUGGUGAAAGCGAGCGGUAAAAUUGGGGGCCUCAACCCGGGAGUGCCGGUGAAACUGGAUACCUUGAGUGCGCGGAAGGCAGGCGGAAUGCGUGGUGUAGCGGUGAAAUGCAUAGAUAUCACGAAGAACUCCGAUUGCGAAGGCAGCAUGCCGCAGCGUAACUGACGCUGAGGCUCGAAAGCGUGGGUAUCGAACAGGAUUAGAUACCCCUGUAGUC